rnacentral:rRNA from 1 species
AUUGAACGCUGGCGGCAGGCCUAACACAUGCAAGUCGAGCGGUAACAGAAAGAAAGCUUGCUUUCUUUGCUGACGAGCGGCGGACGGGUGAGUAAUGCCUGGGAAUAUACCCUGAUGUGGGGGAUAACUAUUGGAAACGAUAGCUAAUACCGCAUAAUCUCUUCGGAGCAAAGAGGGGGACCUUCGGGCCUCUCGCGUCAGGAUUAGCCCAGGUGGGAUUAGCUAGUUGGUGGGGUAAUGGCUCACCAAGGCGACGAUCCCUAGCUGGUCUGAGAGGAUGAUCAGCCACACUGGAACUGAGACACGGUCCAGACUCCUACGGGAGGCAGCAGUGGGGAAUAUUGCACAAUGGGGGAAACCCUGAUGCAGCCAUGCCGCGUGUAUGAAGAAGGCCUUCGGGUUGUAAAGUACUUUCAGUUGUGAGGAAGGCGUUGGAGUUAAUAGCUUCAGCGCUUGACGUUAGCAACAGAAGAAGCACCGGCUAACUCCGUG